UCUUGGAGUAGGUCAUUGGGUGGAUCCUCUAUUUCCUUAUGUGGGCCACUGGAUGGCUCCUCCAUGUCU
rnacentral:pre_miRNA from 3 species